GUCUACAGCCAUUCCACCCUGAACAAGCCCGAUGUCUGAUCUCGGAAGCUAAGCAUGGUCGGGCCUGGUUAGUACUUAGAUAGGAGACCACCUAGGAAAACCAGGUGCUCUAGGCA
rnacentral:rRNA from 1 species